CCCUGUAUCGAAAGUGAUUAAGGCAUGCCUGUUGCCUGGUCAUUGAUAACGCAGGAAGAGGGAAUCGAAAGUCUUUUCCCGUGUUUGCUGGAACAUCAGUUUCCCCCAAACCCUGUAUCUUUCAAACA